AAAAAGAGAAGGAAAAUGAGAUUUGUCAAAGCUGCUGUCCUGCUUUGAAGGGCCACUCCCAGCGCUGAUGAAAGCCGCUGUGAGCAGGGAAACCUCCGCACAGGGCAAGGAAGCCUGGGGAAGCACCGCAGCGCUCGGGACGGGAGCUGAUUCCCAUGGUGAAUCCCAUAGCACCACCCAGCCCGGGAUGCGCGGCGGAGACCGGCACCGGUUUGGGAGCGGGGAGCGGAGCCGAUCCCCGCCUGCGUCACCGCGGCGCACGGAGAGCUUUCUAGAUGACUUGGCAUCCUGUCCCGUUAAUAAUAGAAAGCGAGGCUGCCCGGAUUCUGUGUUCUGGCAAUUUGUCAGAAGGGAUUUUUUGACAAUUUCACUGAACCAUGCUUGAGAGCGGGUUAACCCCUCACGAGCUUAGCGCGUUUUCUUCUCCUUUCCACUGGCUCGGAGUGGUUUGUUACGGCUGCCUUCAUUAGCAGGAAGCGGGAUGGACGGGCGGAUGGAUGGGUGGCUAUCCGUUCCUCGGGCUCUGCAUUCAAAAUCCUCUUUGACAUCUCCCUGCGCAUUCAAACUCUCGGUCCUCUGGAUAAUGAGAUACUCUCCGUUCCUCGGGGACACCUAAACAGCGGGAUAAUUGCAGCGGUACUGUUAGAGAUGUCUCCAAAUGCACUGAACCGUGGCACAUCCCUGAGCUAGGUACGCACUGCCAGCACUCCCCAGGCACAGGCUGGGCUCCUGCACUCUGCUUGCCCUUAUGUUUGCUGGAGGAGCCCCACUGCAGACCCUCAGACCUUGCACAGCAUCUGCCCCACACUUUCAGACACAUCCAGAGCUUUGCUGCUCUGGAUGUGAAGCUUUAUUAUGCAGAGGGGUCUGAUGGGGAUGGAGAUGGCCAUUGAACCCACCACCAUUGUGCCUGGUCCCUCUGGUGAAACACCAGCCUCUCUGGGUGCUCCAUGAGCCCAAGGAAAGGCAAUACUGCAAUAGGUGCCUAUUUGUCCUUUCUGUGGGAUGUUUAGAAGUGUUUCAUCACCACCUCCUCUCACCAGCAUCACAGAGAGAUGUAUUGGAGACCUUCCUCAGGCCUGGCCUAUACUCACAGGAUGUGUGUUCAGACACAAAUGCCCUUUGAGCACACAUGGACACUGAAGCACGUCCACUCUGCCUAAUCUAUUUCUAUCCAUAUCAGCAUCGUCAAAUUUCGCAAGCUAAGUGGUGGGGAGCAAGCACAUCUGAAAUGACAAGAGAGCAUCCUGGAGGGACACGGAUCCCAGAGCAGGCAGUGGUCUGCAGUGGGGAUGUGUGGUCUCGAGCUGCUGUGUCUUUGAUUUUGCUAUAUAUUUGCAGUACCUGAACAAGGCUGUCAGCCACUGCUGUAGCCAGAGGCUGGU
rnacentral:lncRNA from 1 species